CCAUCACCUUUUCAAGUCUCGCUCAAUCUUCCCCCUCUUCACGGUGCAGGGUCUCAGUCGUCCGGGUCCGACGUGCCGACGCUUUUCGAAGCGCGCGGUUGACGCUGGUUGACGCUUGCUCCGUGCUCCGUGCGUUCUCAACGAUUCUCCACGAAUACGACACGAUGUACCCUCCCCUCUUUCGUUUACCAACUGAACUCGCUAGCGGUAACUAACGCGUAAAGCCUGCUCCGGCUGAUUUCAGACCGAACACGUUUAUCGCGGCGAUCGAUAAUUCCGCAGCGCAGAGAGAGAGAGAGAGAGAGAGAGAGUGAGAGAGAAAGGAGGUGGAGAAGGGGAGGGAGAGGGAUCGAAGCCCCGCGGAAGUACCGUCGUCGUGCCGUAACGUGGUGGUGUCUGGUGACCGCGCCGCGCGCGCACGGACCCAUCGUGAGCGUGACGCGACGCGAGCGAGAAUCGUCAAUCGGAUUUCUGUAGCGCGGAAACGGCGCGCGUUACCGGACUAACCGGAGAGAGGUACCCUAGGUACGAAAAAUAGAGAGAGAGAGAGAGAGAGAAAAAGAGGGCGGAUGGAGUAAUAAAGAAAGCCGAAAGUGAGAGGAAAAGAGUGAGAAAGAGAGAGAGAGAGAGAGAGAGAGAGAGAGAAGGGAGGCGGAUUCUCUUUCGGUGGCUUGGACGACCGUUAUGAAUUGACCGAAUGGCGCAGGCACGGCUCAGCUGUACGAUCAAAUAAUGCGUCUUUCUUCUGGAAACUCCUCUCGUUCGGAUGACAGCGCUUACUAGCGACGAACGUAGGGUGACGUUGGUGAGAAAGUAUGGAGCGUCCGUCGAGCGUCGCAGUUACAACUCGCUCGAGUCAAUGCUGCAUUUAGCCUUGCGUUUCGAUAGUUUUUAAUGCGAGAGAAACAGUACGUUGUUAAGGCACAGUGAUCCAAACUCCUGUAAGGAGAAAUGGAUACGGUGUGCGACGAGGACAGGCGGAGACGCCUGCGAGCUUUGGAGGAGCGUAUAAAGGAUCCGAGAAGCGUUACCAACAUCGAUUGCUUGUUGGAUACGGUUCAAGCCCUGGUAACAGAUUGCGAUCACGCAAGCGUGAAACGUAUGAAAAAUAUAGAAGCUUAUAUGAAUAGAUAUGACUCUGUAGCCCAAGAGAUUUAUAAAAUGCGAAUGCGCACGGACGAUUUUACUUUAAUCAAAGUGAUCGGCCGCGGCGCGUUUGGAGAGGUACAAUUGGUUAGACACAAAUCUACGCAAAAAGUUUACGCUAUGAAAUUACUUAGUAAAUUUGAAAUGAUUAAAAGAUCGGAUUCCGCAUUUUUUUGGGAAGAGAGGGACAUAAUGGCUCACGCCAACUCACCAUGGAUAGUCCAGCUCCACUUUGCGUUCCAAGACCAAAAGUAUCUCUAUAUGGUGAUGGAUUACAUGCCGGGCGGGGAUCUGGUCAACUUGAUGUCGAAUUACGAAGUGCCGGAGAAAUGGGCAAAAUUUUACUGCGCCGAGGUGGUGCUGGCAUUGGACGCGAUACAUAAUAUGGGUUUCGUUCACAGAGACGUGAAACCGGACAACAUGUUGCUCGAUAGGCAUGGCCAUUUGAAGCUUGCUGACUUUGGUACAUGUAUGAGGAUGGAUGUUGAUGGUUUAGUACGGUCCGAUACCGCGGUUGGUACACCCGAUUAUAUAUCUCCGGAAGUUCUGCAGUCGCAAGGUGGAGAAGGAGUGUACGGUCGCGAAUGCGAUUGGUGGUCCGUCGGCGUCUUUUUGUACGAAAUGUUAUUUGGCGAUACGCCAUUCUUCGCCGACUCUUUAGUCGGCACGUAUUCCAAGAUCAUGGACCACAGAAAUUCGCUCUACUUUCCUCAGAAUGUGGAGAUAUCUCACUCAGCGAAGAACUUGAUAUGCGGUUUCCUCACCGACAGGACGAAGCGCCUCGGUCGCAAUGGCGUCGACGAGAUCAAAAGUCAUUCGUUUUUCAAGAAUGAUCAAUGGACCUUCGACAAUCUGAGGGAAUGCGUACCGCCGGUAGUGCCGGAGCUUUCCGGAGACGACGACACCAGCAAUUUCGACGAUGUCGAUAAAGAGGAUGGACCAGAGGAGAGUUUUCCAAUACCUAAAGCUUUCUCUGGAAAUCAUCUGCCUUUUAUCGGAUUCACUUACUCGGGCGAUUAUCAAUUAAUGGUUUCUUACGGCAAAGAAUCUGUCGACGGUCUCGAGAAUCAUGUCAAUAAUGGCACUACCGACGAUAUCAAGAUCUCGCAGCUGGAGAAUUUACUGGAACGCGAGAGGCGACAAGUAGAGACGAUGGAGUCGAGGCAGAAGGUAUUAAACACGCAAUUGGAAGCUAUGGCGUGCCGAGAAGCCGACCUGCGCGAGGAAGUUGGCAGAGCGGACAAGGAGUUGACUCUGCUCAGGCAUAAUUAUAAGGAGGCGCAACGCAGAGUGGAGCACGAGACGGAGACUCGUCGUAAGGCGGAGUCGCUGUUGGUAGAAGUGAAGAAAAAGUUUGACGAGGAGCAAACGAGACGAGCGCGAGACGCUAGCAACUCGCAGCAGACGUCCGAGCGAGUGACGACGCUGGAGAAGCAGAUUAAAGAGAUGCAAUGCAAACUCGAGAGAGAAACGGAAACGGUUACGCGGUUGCGCAAGCAAGCGACGGAGAUCACCGUGGCGCGCCAAGCCGCUGAACAAAUGGCAAACGAGUUGCAAGUCGCCAGAGCUCAACUGCAAGCGCAGCGUGAUAACUUGCAGCAAGAAGUCGCUACUCUCCAGGGUCAGCUUUCCAAGGAACGUAGUUCGAGAUCGCAGGCGUCAUUGUUAACGGCUGAAUUGGAAACUCGUCUAACCACUUUACAUCUCGAGUUAGAACGCAGCCAGGAGAAGGAAGAGAAGGCUACUCUAGACAAUAGACAACUAACCGAAAGAGUUUCCGCGUUGGAGAAAGAAGCUGCUAGUUUAACCUUGGAAUUAAAAGCUGCGCAAGCCAGGUACAAUCAAGAAGUUGUAGCGCAUCAAGAAACGGAACGUUCGCGCAUUCUUUCCAAGGAGGAAGCCAAUCUGGAAGUUGUCAAAGGGCAAAAGAAUGGAAUUUUCAAAGCAAAACUAAACGAGGAGAAAAGUGGAAGACAACGUGCGGAAUUACUUGCGCAGGAAAAAGAACGUCAGACGUCGAUGCUCUCUGUCGAUUACAGACAGAUACAGCAACGGUUGCAGAAAUUAGAGGGCGAACAUAGGCAAGAAAUGGAAAAAGGCAAAGUUCUGCAGGGCCAAGUUGAGCAGGAGCAACAAAAAAGGAACGUUCUACAGACCGAAUUAGGCCAGCAAACGUCUGAAGCCGGCAGGCUUCGCGCUCGCGAGCAACAAUUAGUCGGAGAAGUUGCUCAAUUGAGAGAAGCUAAGCGGCAAAUAGAAGAGGAGUUACAUCAUUUGAAGACACAGAGAAACGUCGAUCAAUUGCAGACGAAAGAAUUGCAGGAGCAAUUGGAAGCCGAAGCUUAUUUCUCGACUCUAUACAAAACACAGACGCAAGAGUUGCGCGAGGAGUUGGACGAAAAAAUGAGGUCGCAACAAGAAUUGGAAGAAGAACGUAGUUCUCUGGUCCAUCAACUGCAAUUGUCGUUAGCGCGCGGAGACAGCGAAGCUCUGGCUAGAUCCAUAGCCGAGGAGACUGUGGCGGACUUGGAGAAAGAGAGAACCAUGAAAGAGCUGGAAUAUAAAGAUGGGAUAACAAAGCAUCAUCAGGAACUAAGCGCAAAGGAACAGAUCAUAAACAGACUUAAGGAGAAUGAGAGUGAAUUCAAGAAAUCGGUCGAUCAAGCUCUAAAGGAAAAAGAAGACUUGGGCAAACGAUAUAAAGAAUUGCAGGAACAACUUGGUAAAGCGCAGUCCAAUGUGGAAGAAAUUGAAAAGCUGAGCAGUAAACUCAAGACCGAGCAACUGCUGAAGCAGCAGGCGGUCAACAAGUUGGCCGAGAUUAUGAAUCGGAAGGAUCUUUCGUCAAGCGGGAAGAAUAAGAAUAAGGCUUCUGCUGCAGAUCUGAGGAAAAAGGAGAAAGAUUGCAGACGCCUGCAACAAGAACUCACUCAAGAGAGGGAAAAAUAUGGACAGCUGGCAGCUAAAUGGCAGAAAGAUUUACAGGAUUUGCAAGCACAACUCGUGGAAGAGAAUCAGGCCAAGUUGAGAUUGCAGAUGGAACUCGACUCGAAAGAUUCGGAAAUAGAAACGUUGCAGAUGAAAAUCGCGUCGCUCAAUUCGGAAACUGCAAGUGUCUCGUCUAUAGAGAAUGACGAUGGUGAAGACUCUGUUCUGUCCGAACAUGGUACGAUGAGAUUGGAAGGUUGGUUAAAUGUGCCAAAUAAGCAGAAUAUUAAGCGACACGGUUGGAAAAAGCAAUACGUCGUUGUUUCCUCCAAGAAGAUCAUUUUCUACAACAGCGAAAAUGACAAAAUGAACGCUGAUCCGGUUUUGAUAUUAGACUUGAAUAAAGUCUUCCACGUUAGAUCUGUUACUCAGGGUGAUGUUAUCCGAGCCAAUGCCAAAGAUAUACCGAGAAUAUUUCAGUUAUUGUAUGCUGGUGAAGGGGAAGCCAGGCGACCUGGAGACGAGGGAAAUACACUGCCUGGAGUGGAUUUACCACAGCUCACAGACAAACCCGGCACCCAAUCGCUCAAGGGCCACGAGUUUGUGUCAAUAUCUUAUCACAUGCCGACGACCUGCGAAGUCUGUUCAAAGCAACUCUGGCACAUGUUUCGACCUUCACCGGCCCUCGAAUGCCGAAGAUGCCGCAUUAAGGUUCACAAGGAGCACUUGGAUAAGAAGGAAGAUGCCAUAGCCCCGUGUAAGUUGCACUACGAUCCGAACAGCGCCCGUGAGCUACUGUUGCUCGCGGCGAAUCCCGAGGAUCAAAAGUAUUGGGUCUCGCGGCUGUCCAGGCGCGUUCAGAAAUGCGGCUACAAGGCCAACUCGCACGUGGAUGGCACGGGACAGCGCGUCUCGCCAAGGUAGCGUAGCCGUGCUGCUGCUCGACGUGAGCGGGGACUAAGUAGCUCUCUUAUUUUGUGGCGUCGCAUGAUGUGGGUGUAGAGAGGGAAUCUACAAGGUCGACCUUGAAGCCAUAUUUAUCGGUGCAACAACGAUCCGCUACGUUGCCAGCGAACGCCAGUAUGGGCAAGUGAUCUUUAAAGACGCUAAUAUUGGCGAUUCUCAAAAGAUUUCGCUCACGAUCUGAUAUCCCGCUUCCUUCGAUAGUGACAUCAGUAGAUAUCACGGGCUGUAACAAAUUACCACGACCUCGCAAUUUUCUCUGCGCAUCUGAUGACCGAAGUAGACUGUCAAUAAUUUUCCUAAAUCGAAAGUAAUCGAAAUAACGAUUGCGAUCGUAGUGUUACUGUUUGCAGCUAAGAGAAAGUGAAAAGCAAGUUGGAGAAUCGCUGGAGACAAAAACAGGGUUACUUAUAUACCGGGUGAUAGACGAAUAUGGUACGGAAAGGAGGAUAAAAAGGUAGGACGCCGUGCCCACAAUCUCUUUUCGCGCUCUAAAUUGUCGUUCCCAGAAUAACGAUAACACGGAACCAGAGAGAGAUGCGCUGUGUUCUUCGGAAUUGCUAGAUUGUUUUAUCGUGAGAACGAUGCUAAAAUAGUGUAAUAAUCUUUUUGUACAUUAUUCAUGAUACUCGCGAUAGACUGUAGAAUAUUCUUUCGAAGGAUGAUCGAAUUUCCUGAUUGGAACUAUACUCGACUUUAUACGCACAUUUCUUACUGCCUUUGAUAAUGUUUAACGACGAACCUUGAUGGAGACUUUUAGCUUAAGGCAUUUUUUGAAUGCUUUAAACCGAAAUUUUGGAAACGUAUAGUAAAGAAUAUAGUAUUUUGAAAUUGUUUUAUGUAUACAUAUAUAGAAUAUGUUCUCUGAAAAUGUGUGUCAGUAGAUACAUACGCGCAGAAGUCUUGCUUUUAACGUAACUUGCGUCUUAGAGCGGGUUUAUUCAACGUUUGAUAUUCGAAGUGCUUCUGUGGGUAAAAUUACAUUUUUUAAGAGAAGGUGUAAAUAACUAAACACGCGUCGGAGAAUCAACGUUUUCAUUCAAGUCUGGCAUGUGAAUCGGUUUCGCGGACAUUGCGCGAAGAAGAAGCAAUAUUGUAAAAUUGACCAGCGUAUGGCGCGUGUAGGGAGUAUACGAGUAGACAGCGGCGAGUGCCAGCUUGUAUAGUAGAGAUAACGAUUACGACUGUAAGUUAAGAAAUUUUUAUUACAAUGAUACACGAGCUAAUGACGUCCGCUGUAUCCCUGACGAAAAUAUAGAUAGAAGGGUAAAAAGAAAAAAAGACGCUAAGAGAGGAUAAACUAAGAAAGAAAAUCAUGCAUAAUCGAGAGGCUUAGAAGCUUCAUCGUGGUGCCAUACGGCUUGCUGGUCAUUUUUGGCAACGAAGGAAGCGAUAAAUAAGAAACGAAUGGAAAAUUAGAAGCGACAUUAGGAACCAUCUUAGGUUUAUUAUUAACGCGUCAUUGCCGUCUGUGUUCUUUUCAAAAUAUCUAUGCGAGGCUUUGUACCGCGCUAAGACUCGUCGAAAAGAGCUGUAUCGAGAACCGACAUCGACACGUUACCUAACUAUGGUUAACUAGAUUCUCCUUCUUCAUAAAUUGAAUUUACAGACAUUA